AGCAUUUAGUUUGUUAUUUUUGGAGUAAAGGUUGCAUUAAAAAUGCUAUUGUACCUUACUAAGCCUAUAUUCAACUCUUCUUAAAUUUUGAGAGUACAAACAGUGAGGGAACUAGCUGUCAGUUGAGUCUGUUAUGCCUUGCAGGUCAAACAUUUAAUCAAUAAUAUAUCAUCAGACUUUCGAACUUCAAAAUAACAACAGCAACAAUACUUUAUUUAAAGAGGG
rnacentral:lncRNA from 1 species